rnacentral:lncRNA from 1 species
AUUUCCCCGCGUGUAUGGGCGAGGCAGGGAGCCUCAUACAGCGCUCCCAUUGGGUAUAUAAGGAGCUGCGGAGGAAGGGGCCGCCAUACUGCACUCGUUCUGCAACGCUUCAACACCCGCUCGUCACACCAUGAAGCUGAUUUCGCUGUUGAUGGCCCUGGUGGUGGCCCUCUCUGGCCUCCUGGGUUCAGCUCGUGCUAUGCCUGACCCCUCCCCUGUGGCUGACCCCGUGGCUGACCCUGACCCGUAGCUGACCCGUGGCACUUCAAACGCAAGCACUACUAUCCCCGCCGGCAUUACUACCCCCGUCGCCACCACUACCAUCACUGGUGAAGAUGAAUGAACGUUUUCCUUCGAAAAAUAAACGUUUAUUCCGACAUGAAAUUGAAAUGUUAACAUAUGAUCUCUCUGUCAUCUUGAUGUGAAAUAAAAUCUUAAUAGAUAUA